GGAAAAUCUGAUAUAUUUAAUUUUUCAGGAUUCACAGAUGAAUAGACAGUUCAAAAAAACAACAUUUAUUUGGAAAUAGAAAUCAUAUGUAACGUUGUAAAUGUUUUUACUGGCACUUCUGAAAAAAAAAAAACAAUCUUACUGAACUCGAACUUUAUAUGUAUAUAUUCCAAAUAUAUGCAUCACAGUUACUACUUUUGAAGGAAAAGGUGAUGUUGACUAUACAUGAAGCACGUUUAACACAAUUUGAUGCUUGUAAAAAUAUAUAUGUGACCCUGGAGCAUAAAAGCAGUCUUGAGUCGCUGGGAAAUAUUUGUAGCAAUAGCCAACAAUACAUGGGUCAAAAUUAUCCAUUUUUCUUUUAUGCCAAAAAUCAUUAGGAUAUUAAGUAAAGAUCAUGUUCCAUGAAGAUAUUUAGUAAAUUUCCUACCAUAAAUAUAUCGAAACUUAAUUUUUGAUUAGUAAUAUGCAUUGCUAAGAACUUCAUUUGAACAACUUUAAAGAUGAUUUUCUCAAUAUUUAGAUUUUUUUGCUCCCUCAGAUUCCAGAUUUUCAAAUAGUUGUAUCUCAGACAAAUAUUGUCCUCCUAACAAACCACACAUCAAUGGAAAUAGCUGAAUUUAAAUGUACACUUGAUUAAGACUAGUGAGUAAAAAAUAAAAAGCUGAAUGACAGAUCAGCCUGGCCUAACUACAAAUUUGUCAAAGGUGUCUUCAGUGAUGUCUUCCAUUGUGUCAUAAAUGUGUCCCUCGGCCUGUUUGUGAGUCUCCGGUGUCUCCUGCUGAAGCUGAAACACUGUCUUCAUGUGAAGGAGCGUCCUCUUGAAUCAUCUGGACGUCAGUCUGCUCUCUGUCUGGGUUGAUGUUAAGAGCUUCAGCCUGUUUCAUGAUGGCAUUGAGUCGCGUCAGUGACUUCGUCCUCAGUUUGGGCCUGACCUCGUCUCCACCCUCCGUCCCUGAGUCUUUGAUAUGGCUGUAUGGAGACCCUUCUUCAUCAUAGUUGUAGACUUUAAUGACGCGGAUCUUCUUCUUUGGAUGUGGGCUAGCUGCUGAUCUCAACCGUGGGGUUUGUUCUCCUCCUUCACAACUCUGAGGCUCACUUGACUCGUUAAUAUCAUUUCUGAUAGCGUCCGCGUCAUCGACAUCCAUGCGUUCCCGAUCAGCCAAACCAGUGUCCACAGCGUCUCCUCCAGCGGUUUGGUUUUUAUGGAAGAACACUGUGUCAGUUUGUGCUCUGGUGGUUUGUCCGUUGAUGUGAUUGUGAUGGACUUUUCUAUGAGGCAUGCGGGCCCUUAUCGUUCGUAGGCACUUCAUCACGUAGGAUCUACUGAAUGCACCGAGUGUGAAGGCCACUGAAAAGCUCAUGAUUACUGAUGAUGCCACAGCCGCCGCGAAAUGACUUUCUGACACCGUGUCGCUGUAAACCCCUGCCUCCCUGGUCUUCCUCUGCCGUGCAACUACGUUAACUCUAUAAGGCACGAUUGUUUUGCUCAUCUUGUCCAGAUGGACACAGUAAUAGAGUCCAUCAUGGCUGGAUGUGGCUCUUGAAAUCUUCAAAGUGCCAUUGCAUGUGUACACUGGGUCUUUGUUUUGGUGGUUACAGCUGUCAAACUGACCGAAAGGUGUCUGCCAGAACUGCACCAGCACUGCAGAGAGAAGAAUACAACAAUCACGACUCAAUACAGCGGAUAAAAUAAGUACUGAACAUGUUAACAUUUUUCCCAUUAUAUAUAUAUUUCUAAAGGUGGUGCUGACUUGAGAUUUUCAGCAGAUGUCUGUAACAACCCACGAAACCCAUACAUACAAAGAAAACAAAGCAAAUCAUUUCAGAAAUUAAGUUCUGUGUAAUAAUUGUUUUACCUGCUGUAUGUCUCACAGCUUAAAAC
ensembl:lncRNA